GGGCUCGGUUCUAAAGCACAUAAACUAAAACUGAAAGCCCAUACAGAGAAAAUUAGCAUGGCUCUUGCACAAGGAUAACACAUAUCUGUGAUGGGUUUCAUAUUUUA
ensembl:snRNA U6 U6 spliceosomal RNA